UAUCAUUAACUGAAUCCAUAGGUUAAUGAGGCGAACCGGGGGAACUGAAACAUCUAAGUACCCCGAGGAAAAGAAAUCAACCGAGAUUCCCCCAGUAGCGGCGAGCGAACGGGGAGGAGCCCAGAGCCUGAAUCAGUGUGUGUGUUAGUGGAAGCGUCUGGAAAGGCGCGCGAUACAGGGUGACAGCCCCGUACACAAAAAUGCACAUAUUGUGAGCUCGAUGAGUAGGGCGGGACACGUGGUAUCCUGUCUGAAUAUGGGGGGACCAUCCUCCAAGGCUAAAUACUCCUGACUGACCGAUAGUGAACCAGUACCGUGAGGGAAAGGCGAAAAGAACCCCGGCGAGGGGAGUGAAAAAGAACCUGAAACCGUGUACGUACAAGCAGUGGGAGCCUCUUAAUGGGGUGACUGCGUACCUUUUGUAUAAUGGGUCAGCGACUUAUAUUCUGUAGCAAGGUUAACCGAAUAGGGGAGCCGAAGGGAAACCGAGUCUUAACUGGGCGUUAAGUUGCAGGGUAUAGACCCGAAACCCGGUGAUCUAGCCAUGGGCAGGUUGAAGGUUGGGUAACACUAACUGGAGGACCGAACCGACUAAUGUUGAAAAAUUAGCGGAUGACUUGUGGCUGGGGGUGAAAGGCCAAUCAAACCGGGAGAUAGCUGGUUCUCCCCGAAAGCUAUUUAGGUAGCGCCUCGUGAAUUCAUCUCCGGGGGUAGAGCACUGUUUCGGCAAGGGGGUCAUCCCGACUUACCAACCCGAUGCAAACUGCGAAUACCGGAGAAUGUUAUCACGGGAGACACACGGCGGGUGCUAACGUCCGUCGUGAAGAGGGAAACAACCCAGACCGCCAGCUAAGGUCCCAAAGUCAUGGUUAAGUGGGAAACGAUGUGGGAAGGCCCAGACAGCCAGGAUGUUGGCUUAGAAGCAGCCAUCAUUUAAAGAAAGCGUAAUAGCUCACUGGUCGAGUCGGCCUGCGCGGAAGAUGUAACGGGGCUAAACCAUGCACCGAAGCUGCGGCAGCGACACUAUGUGUUGUUGGGUAGGGGAGCG
rnacentral:rRNA from 1 species